AGUUACGUUGAAACACCGAUUCUCGUACGAUCACCGAAGUUAAGCAACGUCGACUCUGGUCAGUACCUAGAUGGGUGACCGCUUGUGAAUACCAGGUACUGU